CUAGAAUACUUGCAAUUCAUGCAGAAUGCUGAGGAAGAGGAAGCUUGGAUCAAUGAAAAGAAUGCUAUGGCUGUCCGAGGAGAUUCUGGAGAUACAUUAGCUGCUACUCAGAGCUUGCUAACGAAGCAUGAAGCUUUGGAAAACGACUUUGCUGUCCAUGAGACCCGAGUACAAAAUGUGUGUGCACAAGGAGAAGACAUCCUAAAUAAGGUGUUGCAGGAGGAAAGUCAGAACAAAGAGAUUUCUUCUAAGAUAGAGGCUCUGAAUGAAAAGACACCUUCUCUGGCCAAGGCAAUAGCUGCUUGGAAGUUGCAAUUGGAAGAUGAUUAUGCCUUUCAGGAAUUCAACUGGAAGGCUGAUGUGGUAGAUGCUUGGAUAGCUGAUAAGGAAACAAGCCUAAAGACCAAUGGCAAUGGUGCACACCUUGGUGACUUCCUCACUCUCCUGGCAAAACAGGACACUCUGGAUGCCAGUCUGCAGAGUUUCCAGCAAGAGAGACUUCCUGAGAUCACUGACCUGAAGGACCAACUGAUUGCUGCUCAACACAGCCAGUCUAAAGCCAUUGAAGAACGUUAUGCCGCCCUGCUGAAGCGCUGGGAACAGUUGCUGGAAGCCUCGGCAGUCCACAGACAGAAAUUGCUGGAGAAACAGCUGCCUCUACAGAAGGUUUAAAAAAAUUACGAGGCGUGAUCAGUUCUCUGUUACCUGUAUAUUAGCCAUCAAAUUCGGAAACAGAUAUUGGAAACUCAGUUUGGAUAAUACAAAAACCUUUUAUUGCAUUGAAAGAUGUUGGGAAGACAUUCUUACUGAGCAAAAAGUAGAUUGAAAAGAAGCUUUAAAAAAUUUUUUUAGAUUGAUUGAUUAGUUGCAUAACUAACUUGAGAUGGAAGCCAGGCAAAUAUAGUGGAAGAGGUGGAUGGAACAAGAGGAUG
rnacentral:sRNA from 1 species